rnacentral:misc_RNA from 1 species
GUGAGUCAUCGAAUCUUUGAACGCACAUUGCGCCCGCCAGUAUUCUGGCGGGCAUGCCUGUUCGAGCGUCAUUUCAACCCUCAAGCCCCAGCCGGCUUGGUGUUGGGGACCGGCCCCGGCCGCCCCCCAAAUGCAGUGGCGACCUCGCCGCAGCCUCCCCUGCGUAGUAGCACAACCUCGCACCGGAGCGCGGAGACGGUCACGCCGUAAAACGCCCAACUUCUCAGAGUUGACCUCGGAUCAGGUAGGAAUACCCGCUGAACUUAAGCAUAUCAAUAAGCGGAGGA